rnacentral:rRNA from 1 species
AACUCUCAACAACGGAUAUCUUGGCUCCCGCCAACGAUGAAGAACGCAGCGAAAUGCGAUACCUAGUGUGAAUUGCAGAAUUCCGUGAAUCAUCGAGUCUUUGAACGCAUAUCGCGCUCGAGGCCUCGGCCGAGAGCAUGUCUGCCUCAGCGUC